rnacentral:misc_RNA from 1 species
AACGCACAUUGCGCCUUCUGGUAUUCCGGGAGGCACGUCCGUUUGAGCGUCAGCUUAAUCCCUCCGAGCAGCGGUUUUUGUGCCGCGGCCCGGGCCUUUGGCGUGGGGAAGUGACCGCGGCGCCCCGGCGCCUUCGGUUUCCCUUGCUUAAACGUGGAGAAAGCUAGCCGGCGAUGCCCCAGCUGCAACGACUUGUAGAAUUUCUAAACGUCGUAAUGCCUUUGGUGCUCCCGGCCUUUAAGUAAGAGGGACCCAGGUCCCCAGAUCUUUGACCUCAAAUCGGAUGAGGAUACCCGCUGAACUUAA